UCCUAAUACGUUUUCCAUCAGCAGCCGUUCUUGUCUUCUUCUUCUUAUUCCUAUUCCACACAAAAGUACAACCUGGUCUCAGCCAUGGCAGACUCUCACCAUGCCAUUUUUGUGCAAGUAUCAUCUCUUUUCUACCUUUGUCUGAGCGUAUUUUAACGUCUCUGUCCCGUUUCGUGUUGGAUGGUACCUUAAAUCUCGAAGCAGAGUCUCGGUCUCUCCAUUUUUGGGUAAGGUCUGAAUCAACCACGUGAAAGGCUUCAACGUCGGAUUAGCACGGGUUUGACUUAGUUUCGAAUUUUCGAUUUUCAAAAUCCUGCUCAAAAAUCGCAAACCCUAGUCUUUUCCACCUAUAUAUAUGUGACAUAUAUCUUCAGGAAAGGGGGAUUUUUUUGAGUUUUAGCCGCCACACCUCUCUUUGAAAUUAAUCUUCUCACUACUGUUCUGAUUCACAAGACGAACGAUGCAUUUCUUUUAUUAUUUCUGCCGCAACCUCGAGUCCGAGGAUCAUUCAUAGUUCGAGCGUAGAUCGGAGAUCCGAAGCUCCGUUCACUGCACCCACAGGAGGUAAACCCAAUCCCUUUAUUCGCUCUUCCUUCCGUUUGAGAUUGCGGCAAAAAAUGGAAUAUAUGAAAUAAAUGAGUGAAACAUGACUAUUUUUUAGUUUGGUUAAUUUGGAAUUCUGUUUUUUUUUUUUUGUUGUUACGUUCGAAUCAUGUUGUCGAAGUGUUAUGAGGAAGCUCUUCUUAUGCGAUUUGUAUUCUCGGAUGUUGUAAAAAUCAUAUUCGCUUGUUUGAAUUCAAGGUCAUAUUUUCUGGCCGCAUAUCAUCCACAGUAUGAGUCUUCGACAAGUGUUCCUGAGUGCUCUAUGUGUUCCAGAAUUUUUGCUUUGCACAUUAGGAGAUUAGUUCACAUUCCUUUCUCUGUUCUUUUCUUACAUAUUUGUUUUAGAACUUAGAUCAAUUAAGUUAAGGCUUCCAGUUUCCUGUCAAUCUGCUCUCUAAAUUUUAAUGUGUCUUGUUUGAUAUGUCUAACUGCCUGAUAUUCGACUCCAUUUUGAUUCUUCUCCAUUGUUUUGAGAGAAUUCUACGUUUGAGAAUCAUGACUUAGAUAUUCAUACCAAUAUGUGUCGUAGAAUCUAGACAUUUAUGUGAUAUUAAGAAUCGUGUCUUGUUUGUUUGGUGAAAUGUGAUGUAUCGUUCUCAACCUACCAGAAGUCCGUGGUUCCACUUUUCAUUUUUUUUACUCGAAGCAUAUUUCGUGUCUUAAUGCGUAUUAGGAAAAUAUCACCAGUUUUUUUUUUUUUUUUUCUGUUUUGAGGAUUUAGAUGUCAUGAAAAAAAUAGAUAUUAUGCAGGUCUUUGUUUGUUGAGGUUACUUUUAUUUGGUCAGUUUUUGAUAUAUCAGUUCGUUAAAAGAGCAUGUUUUCGGGAUUUCACAUUUUGAUGCAAAAUCUGGUUGUGUGCUUUAUGUGGAAAGAUGUCCCUCCAGUAUUUUAUGGUAAUCAUAUUUGGUUUACAUCUCCUGCUGUUAUCAUGCCUGGCUGACUUACUAUCUUAGAAUAAGUUAGCCUAUAUUUAGCACAUUAGUUGAAGCAUCGUUUUAGUAGUUCCUCCCUAUUCUUAGCUAAGGAUCAGAUUUUUAAAAACGGAGACUAACGUUUCAGCCAUUGUGCCUAUAUAUAUUUGUUAUUUAAAGGAGCCUAUCUGUUUAUUACUACUCAAUAUUUGAACUUAGUUGCUAUUAUCACUCACGUUGAUCACCCCAACUGGUUUGGGGUUGAAGAAUUGUUGAUUGAUCGAUGUUGAGGUUAUUUGCGCUUGGAAUGCCAAACUUGAGUGCUGUGCUUUGCCAUCUGAACUUUUCAAACUGGACCUGAACUUUUCAAACUGGUGAACCUCUUGCACUGUUGAGAUUGCAAAGUAUUAAUGAAGAGUAAACAGAAGUAAACCAGUGGAUAAAGUGUGUAUUUUGCCAAGUGCAGUGCUAGACUUAAGUUUAGACAAUAAAAAAACCGAAAGAAUUGGAUGGCAAAGUUAAUACUCCUCCCUUUUUCUACGCCCAAAAAUGAAUAGAUGCUUAUGCGAUGAAAUGAAGUAGACAUGUGCUUAGUUUGGUCUUAUGGGCUUCUGUUUAAACGCAAGUAUAUGAUUGUGUGAAAUAUAUGAAAUCCAUUUUUUUUGUCACACGAAAUGUUACUUGGAACUGAAGAAAUGCUUAAAUAUUUUACUUGUUGAGAAUUAAAUUUCCCUUUGCUAAUUCCUCCUAUUUUUCUUUUCCUUUGCAUGUACAACCGGAGCCGAAGAGUUUCACUUCGAAACUCAAUGACACCGCUCACGGAGUUCGCACCCCUGCAUUGUCCACUUUCUCACUUUGCUUGAGCGGAAAGUUGGCUGAAUAACGAUGCCCCUAUGAAAGCCGAAAUGGCUUUUUAUCAUUUUCAUAUCUCUUUGAUUUGCUUAUCCGUGUGUCUAAAAUCCCUAUGUGACUAACAUUUUACCUAGCUAUGUGAUUGCGAUAAAUACUUAACUGCUUAUUUUAACCGAGCCUAUUUUAUAUUAUGAUGUCUUAAUUAGCAAUUUAGGUCUUAAAUUAAAUGAAGUUUAAUUGCUUACGCUCCCAAAGCCUCAUAAAUUUUACACUAAUGUUAUCUUGUUUUAAGAAAUAAAAAAAAACAAAGCAAACUAGUUUUUUAUGGAACUGUUCCACUUUAGCUUCUUCCUAACAUUUGAAACACGUAUUUGUUAAAACAAUCUUUACGCAGUUUAUACUGAACUAAUAUUCUUUCUAUAAAAUCUUUAAAUGUUUAUUAAAAUUAAUCUUACAAACAAGUGUUUAAAUUUAUUAGUCAGCGUAACUUAUUUUCUCCAAUAUUUAUAAAACAUUGCACUAUCUUGCGUUUUCUUCAGUUUAUUCACAACUAUACUCUUUUAUGCAAAUUAUUAUUUUUCUACCAAUCUUAUUUUAAAUAGCAUUCUUAUACAUCUAUCCAUAACUUUAGCAAUACUUAUAAAGAUAUUUUUUUAAAUAUUAUAAAAUAUUACAUCCACAUUCUUAGCCUAAUUAAAUUUUAGUCCGGUCGGUUAACCAUUAUUAAUGGAAUUUAGAGGAUUCCUAAUACCUUCCCUCUAAGUUAGUUGAACCCUUACCUAGAAUCUUUCGAUUUCGUAGACUUUAAAAUAAAACCAACUUUAGAUAAUUACUUUAAUAAACUUUAGGUGUCCUAAUUCACCAUAAAUAAUUAGGUGGCGACUCUUAACUUUAAAUAACCCCGGAAUUACCCGGAUGUUAUAAAUUAUUUUGACCCCGGUUAAAAUAGGGUAUACAUACAACAUAUGUGGCAGCCUAGUCGGCUUGCAUUGUUAUUUUUAGUGUAUACACACACACACACACACACAUGUAUAUUCAUAUAUGGGUAUGGCGGGGCCCUAUCCCGUCCUUGAUACAACUUUCAAUUCCAUUAGAGGUUUGUAGAUAGUUGUACAUAGUUGACACAUGAUGUAGCCUUGUCGGCUCUCAUUCUUUUGCUGUACAGUAUAUGUGGCAGCCUAGUCGGCUUGCAUUGUUAUUUUCAGUAUAUAUAUAUAUAUAUAUAUAUAUGUAUACACACACGCCGAUAGUUGAUGGAUCUUGAUGCAUAUCUCAUGGUAUUGUUCUUGUAUAAUUCAGUAUAAUUCAGUUAUAAGUCGUGUAUGGGCCACCCUAUCCUUCAGUGAUCUCUAGGUAUGAGUAUAGGGGUGCUUGGUCAAUAGAGGUUAGGUAUUCGUCACAGCUCAUCGGGUUGGGUCGUGACAUCGAUAUGAUUAGAUGGGAGUUUUAGUUUCCCCGAGGUAAGAAGUGGAAAGGAUAUAUAUAUAUGUUUAAAUAUGAUCCUUGAGUGUAAAUGUGUCAAUGAUUUACGAGCAAAAAGAGGUGAAAUCGAAAUUUCGGAAACGGAAAGAGUAUCAGUUAUAAGGAUGAUGAUGCCCAAAGUCUAAAAGGGAUAUGAUAUGGAACGCAAAAUUUCGCCAAGGAUAGUUAUUGUUUGAAUGUCUGAAAAGGGAUAUGAUUAGUUAGAAAAGGUAAAAGAGCGAUGUAUGCCGCUCAAUGAGAUAGAUAUUGACGAGGGCCUCCUGAUUGUAUAGAGAAUAUUGGCAAGGGUGUUAUACAGAGAUAUGAGAUUCAGGUGUCCACAUUUGUUAUUACUUCUAGAGGAAGUUCUGCCAAUAUUUCCAUAAAAUCUCUGAGAGUUUAACAUUCGAGGACAAAUGUUUUUAAGGGAGGAAGAAUGUUACAUCUCAAAUAUUUUCUUGUCGUUUUCAUCGUAAGUAAAGUAACAUAAGCCGGGGAGGUCAUGGAACUCUUAUAAGGUUAAGCAAGAGCUUUAACAACUGCUAAGCAAGUGUCUAAAGGUUCUGGGAUCAAGCGAAUCAAAUGAUUUAAGUUUGUUGAAAUUUUGGGAAAACUUGGCAGAAUUCCGGACAGAAAUUUUAGUCCAACUUUAGAGAGGCAUAUCUUUUAGAAUAUGAGGAGUUAUGGAUCGCAUAACCUACGUAAAUUGAAGUUCAGAGAGUCUUUUCCAAUACAACUGACAGAUCGCAAAUCCGAGACGUACAGUGGAAGAUAUGGCCUGUACAGAAUUGUACGAUUUCUCUGUGAAAUUCGACGGUUGCAGAUCGAUGGCCAGUCAAAUAACGACGGUACCGUCGAACCUGCUGUCGAACUGAGGCGGUGGAACCGACCUUGGGGAUUAUAAAAACCCCACUCCACUCCUUCUCCACCAUUCUACAACCUUCCACCACCCGUGCAUACCUCUAUAUAAUCCCUCUAAGACAUUUUACUCACUUGUUUAUUACUCCCUCCAAAUUUAUACGCUAAUUAGCUCGGGAAGCUUGUGGCAACAUCAUAAUGUUGUAGUUGUUGUUGGAACUGAACGGGGGAAGGCGGGAUCACGAGUUCAAUGCUAACAAAGAUCAACCCAAGCUUAGUAAGGUUAUGACUAAGGGCAUAUCUUUCAAUAUAGGCUCGGGGAAAGAGCGAGCAUCAGAAUAAGGAUUCGUUCAAGGUGAUGGCUCGACAAGUAAGGUCCUGACAGACAGAGUGGAGGACCUCUUCAGUAGGACUAUCAGCUUCAGCGGGUCAUCAGCAAGUGCCAUUGUACCGGGCUUGCUCUUUUGGUAUAUGCUAUGUUUACAUGUUAUGUAUAUGUAUCUUUUGAGUACAAAGUAGGUCAUGUAUAUGUACUCCUAGAGGCUCAUAGACAGUAUGAUGGAUGUAGAUGUCAUGUACGGCCUCGUCGACCUUCGUUUGAUUAUGAGGCUCUUGUGGUAGCCUCGUCGGCUAGCAUAUAUAUUUAUAUAUUUAUAUAUGUAUGGUCAUGCAUAGGUCUUCCGUUGUAUUAGGCCUUUUCUACGUGCAGGUGUCUUUCUAUGUUAACAGUGAGCUCACAUUUCAAGCUAGAAUAGCCGGAUUGAGAUUAUGUCAGUACACACUAGGUGUGACACUUUUAGUACUGCAAAAUUCAAUAGAACAUUUAUUUUCCAUUAUAUUUUUAUAAUACCUUUUUUGUAUUAUUGCACCUAUUUUUGUAACCUCUCAGUAAUAGUUGAGUAAUGUAACAUGAAAUUUUCAUGCUAUUCAAAAUAUAAAAAAAAAAAAUGAAAAGGACAGAAUGAAUAGGAAAAAGUAAAAAAAAUCAACAACUAAGAAGACAUACUCCAAACAAUUAUUAAAGCAAUACCUUUUAUACGCCUAAUUGUCAAAAUACCGUGUGAGAUUCAGUUUACCUUCAAGGUGCUUACUAAAUAUAAAUUUGGAUUAGUUCUAAAUAUAAAUUUGGAUUAGUUUUCUAGAGUAUGUAUCUCUAAAUUAAAGAUGAAAAAAGAAGAAGAAAUUAAGGAAGCACAAAAGCAGAAGGUGAAAAGAUAAUACAAUUACUUAAAAAAAUGAAAAUUCAAAAAGAUGAAGAUUUGAA